GGAACCGAGUGAGGGAUAGGGCAGAGGACUGGUGGAGGGAGGCAAGAGCUUUCCCUGGAUAGGGGAGAGGACACGGGUGGAGAGGGGGUAUUUUAUGUCCUCAAACUGUCUUCUUGGCUCAAACUCCUACAGGUUUGUCCAUAUUCUGUUCCGUAAUUUAAUGUCAGUAUCAUUUCAGUAGCUUACCAAAGUAUAUAUUUUAUAUUUUUAUCUGUGUGUUUUUUUGUUGGACCAUAAUACUUUUUUGGUAGGCCUACUCCAGUGUUUUUGUUUUGACUGACAACAACAUUCCAAAGCUCUGAGAUGUCCAGUCCAGGCAUGGGCGUGUUAUCUGUGCCUUUAAAAACAUACCUUAUGCUUUUCAGCCUACUCCAGUGUUUUUGUUUUGACUGGCAACAACAUUCCAAUGCUCUGAGCAGUCGUCAGGGCAUGGGCGUAUUAUCUGUGCCUUUACAAACACACCACUUGUGUUUUGCAGCCUACAACAAGCUGUAAUGGCAAGGACAUGAGAUUACAUACCUUUGAUAUGAAAAUAACUACACCAAAUUUGUUGGCAAGAAAGAAUCCAUGUCUAUAUCAAAAACAGAACCAAGUCUGUUCCUAAUUAUUCCUGAAAUGUCCUCCAUGUUAAGGCCAAAUGUAUUAAAACCAAUGUCACUGAACACCAGAGACAGGGUUCUCUUCUUUGGUAAUAACACCCUCAUUAAUUAACAUUCUACAUUUGACAUUUUUUGUCCUUUAGUAGACGCGACUUACAGUUAAUGCAUUCAUCUUAAGAUAGCUAGGUAGAACAACCACAUAUCACAGACAAGGGACCUGAGGUGGCAGAACGGAGUGCUCGGGUUGGGGUGUGGAGUUUGAUCGUAGCCUGAAGGUAGGGAGGGGCAGUUCCUCUUGCUGAUCCGUCAGAAAGCACCAUGGUCUUGUAGUGGAUGCAAGCUUCGACUGGAAGCCAGUGGUUGUGCAGAGGAGUGGGUGACAUGAGAGAACUUGAGAAGGUUCAAAACCAGGCUGGCUGCAGCAUUCUGGAUAAGUUGCAGGGGUUUGAUGGCACAAGAGGAGAACCCAGCCAACAACGAGUUGCGGUAGUUCAGACGGGAGAGGACAAGUGCCUGGAUUAGGAAUUGUGCCUCUUCCUGUGUGAGGUAGGGUCGUACUCUACUGAUGUUGUAGAGCAUGAACCUGCAGGAGCGAGUCACUGCUUUGAUUUUUGCAGAGAACGACAGGGUGUUGUCUAGGAUCACGUGAAGGUUAUUUACGCUUUGGGAGGGCGACACUGUGGAGCUGUCAACAACUGGUGGAGAGGUUUUUGAGCAGGCAGGCAGGCCUCCCUGGGAGGAAGAGCAGCUCUGUCUUGUCGAGGUUGAGCUUGAGGUGGUGGGCCGACAUCCAAGUUGAGAUAUCUGCCAGGCACGCAGAGAUGCGUGUCGCCACCUGGGUGUCAGAAGGAGGGAAGGAGAAAAGUAGUUGAUUGUCAUCCUCACAGAAAUGAUAGGAGAGACAAUGUGAGGAUAUGACUUGGUGUAUAGAGGGAAGAGGAGAGAGACUAAAACCAGGGGACACCAGUAGUGAGAGUAC
rnacentral:lncRNA from 13 species